rnacentral:rRNA from 1 species
GAUUCGGGGUGCACCAGGCGCGAAAACUUUACAAUGCGGGCAACCGCGAUAAGGGGACCUCGAGUGCCGACAUCAAAUGUCGGCUGUCGUGAUGCCUAAAAAGCAUUACAUAGCAAGGGCCGGGCAAGACCGGUGCCAGCCGCCGCGGUAACACCGGCGGCUCGAGUGGUGACCGCUAUUAUUGGGUUUAAAGGGUCUGUAGCCGGCCGGAUAAGUCUCUUGGGAAAUCUGGCCGCUCAACGGCCAGGCUUUCAGGAGAUACUGUCUGGCUCGAGGCCGGGAGAGGUGAGAGGUACUUCAGGGGUAGGGGUGAAAUCUUGUAAUCCUUGAAGGACCACCAGUGGCGAAGGCGUCUCACCAGAACGGACCUGACGGCAAGGGACGAAAGCUAGGGGCACGAACCGGAUUAGAUACCCGGGUAGUCCUAGCCGUAAACGAUACUCGCUAGGUGUCGGCCACGGUGCGACCGUGGUCGGUGCCGCAGGGAAACCGUGAAGCGAGCCACCUGGGAAGUACGGCCGCAAGGCUGAAACUUAAAGGAAUUGGCGGGGGAGCACAAUCACUAGUGAAU